rnacentral:rRNA from 1 species
GGGUUGUGAGGUUAAGCGACUAAGCGUACACGGUGGAUGCCCUGGCAGUCAGAGGCGAUGAAGGACGUGCUAAUCUGCGAUAAGCGUCGGUAAGGUGAUAUGAACCGUUAUAACCGGCGAUUUCCGAAUGGGGAAACCCAGUGUGUUUCGACACACUAUCAUUAACUGAAUCCAUAGGUUAAUGAGGCGAACCGGGGGAACUGAAACAUCUAAGUACCCCGAGGAAAAGAAAUCAACCGAGAUUCCCCCAGUAGCGGCGAGCGAACGGGGAGCAGCCCAGAGCCUGAAUCAGUGUGUGUGUUAGUGGAAGCGUCUGGAAAGGCGUGCGAUACAGGGUGACAGCCCCGUACACAAAAAUGCACAUGCUGUGAGCUCGAUGAGUAGGGCGGGACACGUGGUAUCCUGUCUGAAUAUGGGGGGACCAUCCUCCAAGGCUAAAUACUCCUGACUGACCGAUAGUGAACCAGUACCGUGAGGGAAAGGCGAAAAGAACCCCGGCGAGGGGAGUGAAAAAGAACCUGAAACCGUGUACGUACAAGCAGUGGGAGCACGCUUAGGCGUGUGACUGCGUACCUUUUGUAUAAUGGGUCAGCGACUUAUAUUCUGUAGCAAGGUUAACCGAAUAGGGGAGCCGAAGGGAAACCGAGUCUUAACUGGGCGUUAAGUUGCAGGGUAUAGACCCGAAACCCGGUGAUCUAGCCAUGGGCAGGUUGAAGGUUGGGUAACACUAACUGGAGGACCGAACCGACUAAUGUUGAAAAAUUAGCGGAUGACUUGUGGCUGGGGGUGAAAGGCCAAUCAAACCGGGAGAUAGCUGGUUCUCCCCGAAAGCUAUUUAGGUAGCGCCUCGUGAAUUCAUCUCCGGGGGUAGAGCACUGUUUCGGCAAGGGGGUCAUCCCGACUUACCAACCCGAUGCAAACUGCGAAUACCGGAGAAUGUUAUCACGGGAGACACACGGCGGGUGCUAACGUCCGUCGUGAAGAGGGAAACAACCCAGACCGCCAGCUAAGGUCCCAAAGUCAUGGUUAAGUGGGAAACGAUGUGGGAAGGCCCAGACAGCCAGGAUGUUGGCUUAGAAGCAGCCAUCAUUUAAAGAAAGCGUAAUAGCUCACUGGUCGAGUCGGCCUGCGCGGAAGAUGUAACGGGGCUAAACCAUGCACCGAAGCUGCGGCAGCGACACUAUGUGUUGUUGGGUAGGGGAGCGUUCUGUAAGCCUGUGAAGGUGUACUGUGAGGUAUGCUGGAGGUAUCAGAAGUGCGAAUGCUGACAUAAGUAACGAUAAAGCGGGUGAAAAGCCCGCUCGCCGGAAGACCAAGGGUUCCUGUCCAACGUUAAUCGGGGCAGGGUGAGUCGACCCCUAAGGCGAGGCCGAAAGGCGUAGUCGAUGGGAAACAGGUUAAUAUUCCUGUACUUGGUGUUACUGCGAAGGGGGGACGGAGAAGGCUAUGUUGGCCGGGCGACGGUUGUCCCGGUUUAAGCGUGUAGGCUGGUUUUCCAGGCAAAUCCGGAAAAUCAAGGCUGAGGCGUGAUGACGAGGCACUACGGUGCUGAAGCAACAAAUGCCCUGCUUCCAGGAAAAGCCUCUAAGCAUCAGGUAACAUCAAAUCGUACCCCAAACCGACACAGGUGGUCAGGUAGAGAAUACCAAGGCGCUUGAGAGAACUCGGGUGAAGGAACUAGGCAAAAUGGUGCCGUAACUUCGGGAGAAGGCACGCUGAUAUGUAGGUGAAGUCCCUCGCGGAUGGAGCUGAAAUCAGUCGAAGAUACCAGCUGGCUGCAACUGUUUAUUAAAAACACAGCACUGUGCAAACACGAAAGUGGACGUAUACGGUGUGACGCCUGCCCGGUGCCGGAAGGUUAAUUGAUGGGGUUAGCCGCAAGGCGAAGCUCUUGAUCGAAGCCCCGGUAAACGGCGGCCGUAACUAUAACGGUCCUAAGGUAGCGAAAUUCCUUGUCGGGUAAGUUCCGACCUGCACGAAUGGCGUAAUGAUGGCCAGGCUGUCUCCACCCGAGACUCAGUGAAAUUGAACUCGCUGUGAAGAUGCAGUGUACCCGCGGCAAGACGGAAAGACCCCGUGAACCUUUACUAUAGCUUGACACUGAACAUUGAGCCUUGAUGUGUAGGAUAGGUGGGAGGCUUUGAAGUGUGGACGCCAGUCUGCAUGGAGCCGACCUUGAAAUACCACCCUUUAAUGUUUGAUGUUCUAACGUUGACCCGUAAUCCGGGUUGCGGACAGUGUCUGGUGGGUAGUUUGACUGGGGCGGUCUCCUCCUAAAGAGUAACGGAGGAGCACGAAGGUUGGCUAAUCCUGGUCGGACAUCAGGAGGUUAGUGCAAUGGCAUAAGCCAGCUUGACUGCGAGCGUGACGGCGCGAGCAGGUGCGAAAGCAGGUCAUAGUGAUCCGGUGGUUCUGAAUGGAAGGGCCAUCGCUCAACGGAUAAAAGGUACUCCGGGGAUAACAGGCUGAUACCGCCCAAGAGUUCAUAUCGACGGCGGUGUUUGGCACCUCGAUGUCGGCUCAUCACAUCCUGGGGCUGAAGUAGGUCCCAAGGGUAUGGCUGUUCGCCAUUUAAAGUGGUACGCGAGCUGGGUUUAGAACGUCGUGAGACAGUUCGGUCCCUAUCUGCCGUGGGCGCUGGAGAACUGAGGGGGGCUGCUCCUAGUACGAGAGGACCGGAGUGGACGCAUCACUGGUGUUCGGGUUGUCAUGCCAAUGGCACUGCCCGGUAGCUAAAUGCGGAAGAGAUAAGUGCUGAAAGCAUCUAAGCACGAAACUUGCCCCGAGAUGAGUUCUCCCUGACUCCUUGAGAGUCCUGAAGGAACGUUGAAGACGACGACGUUGAUAGGCCGGGUGUGUAAGCGCAGCGAUGCGUUGAGCUAACCGGUACUAAUGAACCGUGAGGCUUAACCUUACAACGCCGAAGCUGUU